UUAAACCGGCUCGGUUUUUAAACUGCUGGGUCUGUGACGGUUAAGUUUAGGGUGUGGUGUGUUUCAGCCUUAAAUUUAGCAGUACUCACCAGACCACAGCUCGAAAUUCAAAGCCCGACGAUCCCGACCCAGCAUCGCGUUCCGCCAUGAAGUCCUGUUUCAGCCAGACUGCCUUGUCCCAAAGACGGUAAGUGUCAUCGUUAGACUAUAAUCACUGGGUCUAUGAUGGUUAAGUUUAGAGUGUGUUUUAGUUCAGCCUUAAAUUUAGCUGUGUUUGAAUUAAACCGGCUAGGUUUUUAAACCGCUGGGUCUGUGACGGUUAAGUUUAGGGUGUGUUUUAGUUCAGCCUUAAAUUUAGCUGUGUUAGAAUUAAACCGGCUAGGUUUUUAAACCGCUGGGUCUGUGACGGUUAAGUUUAGGGUGUGGUUUGGUUCAGCCUUAAAUUUAGCAGUACUCACCAGACCACAGCUCGAAAUUCAGAGUCCGACGAUCCCGACCCAGCAUCGCGUUCCGCCAUGAAGUCCUGUUUCAGCCAGGCUGCCUUGUCCCAAAGACGGUAAGUGUCAUCGUUAGACUAUAAUCACUGGGUCUAUGAUGGUUAAGUUUAGGGAGUGUUUUAGUUCAGCCUUAAAUUUAGCUGUGUUAGAAAAUAAACCGGCUAGGUUUUUAAACCGCUGGGUCUGUGACGGUUAAGUUUAGGGUGUGUUUUAGUUCAGCCUUAAAUUUAGCUGUGUUAGAAUUAAACCGGCUAGGUUUUUAAACCGCUGGGUCUGUGACGGUUAAGUUUAGGGUGUGGUUUGGUUCAGCCUUAAAUUUAGCAGUACUCACCAGACCACAGCUCGAAAUUCAGAGUCCGACGAUCCCGACCCAGCAUCGCGUUCCGCCAUGAAGUCCUGUUUCAGCCAGGCUGCCUUGUCCCAAAGACGGUAAGUGUCAUCGUUAGACUAUAAUCACUGGGUCUAUGAUGGUUAAGUUUAGGGAGUGUUUUAGUUCAGCCUUAAAUUUAGCUGUGUUAGAAAAUAAACCGGCUAGGUUUUUAAACCGCUGGGUCUGUGACGGUUAAGUUUAGGGUGUGUUUUAGUUCAGCCUUAAAUUUAGCUGUGUUAGAAUUAAACCGGCUAGGUUUUUAAACCGCU